rnacentral:lncRNA from 1 species
GGUGGAUUGGCGAACAUAUGUAAAAGUCCACAUGCACAAACAGCAUAUCAAGGUAGUUUCUAAGUACUGAGGGGCUGUUUUGGUUCAUGAACAAUGAAGUAUCCAAACCAGGCUCUGCAAGCUCUGCAAUGCUUUCAGUACUUCACCUGACUCCAUGUCCUUCACCCGGAGGAACGGUAAUUGCUGCCUGUUUCUCUUCAAAGCAUUAGCCAGGGGUCUUUGUUGCUGUAACCUAGUGACUGGAGGCUGAGAAACAGAGAUGCAUCUUCUCUGCAUACUGUCUCAAGUCUAUCAGCACAGUCACAUGCCAGUACAGUAUACACACGGCAGACAACGUAUGGUGACAGGAGUACCAGCUCUCCCUCUGAGGCUGAUUCUAGUUUAUAGAUAAAAAGGCCUGCAUCAGCCUCUUUAGUUUGAAAUCUGCUGCAUCAGAGUCAAAUAAGCUCCACAUUGCCUCUUAAAGACUGAACGAUAAAUAGCAGCAAAAUGUACUUUGGUGAACGGAUUUCUUUCAGCAGGUGACUACAUAAACUAAAUCUUGGCACUAGAACUUCAAGUGAGUGAAGUAUUGUGGUUGAUGGUCUUAAAUCUUUCUUCUGCUAACGCUGUGCAGGAAAGACUGUGACUGAAAUAGGUAUAAUUAGUGAACCGUGAUUGAAUUCUCAUCAUCAAGAAGACAACAACUCUUUCACAGUUUCUACUUUGAUGUCAUCUCUCAUCUGUAAAGCUGUUCUACUCGAAACCACUUGAAGACAGGUCAUAGGACAACAAAGGGAUCCAGCGAACAGAUUGGAGGAGGCAGUGCAAGGGCUGAAUCCCGGAGCGCCAUCCAGAAGUUGGGCACAGAGCAGGGAGCCCUGCUGCAGGGCUGGGGAUUUGGCAAAUCAAAGGAAAAAAGGGUAAGAGUUUUUCUCUGCACCACACACACCUGUGAGAGAGACACAGCCAGUACCUUUAAAUGGUUCUAUAAUGUUAUGAUAAGCAUUUCCCAACUCCAUUAGCAUUUACCAGUUGUGACUAAAAUCUGGAUGGCUGAGAAUAAGUUUUUCCCCCCUCCCUCCUGGCCAGGAGAAUUUGAUACGUAAUCUAAAAUUCCACUACAAGCAUCCAAAUUUAAUAUGAGUUUCCAUUAUUAACAACAUUGAGCUUUUCCUCUCCUACAGGAUGAAAUUCAUCUGCCCCAGAGCCCCACCAAAUCCCAAAUUUGUUCACACAUUCAGUGCCAAGAAAACACAGAUUAUGGUUAAGAACUGGAAUAUAGCUUGCAAUGCCAUCAAAGCACCAAACUGAGCGCAGAAGCAUUAUAGCUUGAGACAAGGAUCCUGAUUCAAACAGUGUUAACACAGAGCUUCAAAAGUACACAUCUGCAAAAUCCAAAAUCCACAGCUGACCUUUGCUCACACCAAACCCAUCCUUUUCACUGAUCCACACAGAUGUUUCAUGGGAAAGGUCAUGGUAGAGGAACGAGGACAAAGCCAGUCUCUUAGGUCUCCAAAUUAAAAGAAAGGAGAAUUAACACUUAGUUUAAAAAAUAAAGAAUAUAAGCAAAUUUUUCCUACCUCUAGA